ACGAUGAAGCCCUUCGGGGUGGAUUAGUGGCGAACGGGUGAGUAACACGUGGGCAAUCUGCCCUUCACUCUGGGACAAGCCCUGGAAACGGGGUCUAAUACCGGAUAACACUCUGUCCCUCAUGGGGCGGGGUUAAAAGCUCCGGCGGUGAAGGAUGAGCCCGCGGCCUAUCAGCUUGUUGGUGGGGUAAUGGCCUACCAAGGCGACGACGGGUAGCCGGCCUGAGAGGGCGACCGGCCACACUGGGACUGAGACACGGCCCAGACUCCUACGGGAGGCAGCAGUGGGGAAUAUUGCACAAUGGGCGAAAGCCUGAUGCAGCGACGCCGCGUGAGGGAUGACGGCCUUCGGGUUGUAAACCUCUUUCAGCAGGGAAGAAGCGAAAGUGACGGUACCUGCAGAAGAAGCACCGGCUAACUACGUGCCAGCAGCCGCGGUAAUACGUAGGGUGCGAGCGUUGUCCGGAAUUAUUGGGCGUAAAGAGCUCGUAGGCGGCUUGUCACGUCGGAUGUGAAAGCUCGGGGCUUAACCCCGAGUCUGCAUUCGAUACGGGCUAGCUAGAGUGUGGUAGGGGAGAUCGGAAUUCCUGGUGUAGCGGUGAAAUGCGCAGAUAUCAGGAGGAACACCGGUGGCGAAGGCGGAUCUCUGGGCCAUUACUGACGCUGAGGAGCGAAAGCGUGGGGAGCGAACAGGAUUAGAU
rnacentral:rRNA from 1 species